GCGAGCGAACGCGGAUUAGCCCAAACCAAUAAAGUUUUCUUUAUUGGGGUUGCGGACAUAUCAUAACGAAGAGGUAUCGUAAUUGAAGAGGUUUGGAAAGAUUCACCACAGAAGGUAAUAGUCCUGUAUGUUAAACGAGAAGACUUCAGAUAUGAUCCAGAGUACCACGGGACACGUGAAACCCUGUGGGAAGCAGGAGGGACCA
rnacentral:rRNA from 1 species